UGACGCCUGGGCACCAGCAGUCCUCGUGGCCUUCUAGGCCUGGCCGCCAUACACUCGCUCGCAGACAGCUUCCAAGACACUACCCGCACAACCCCUUUGGGCUUUCCAACGCGGCGCCCCCUA
ensembl:misc_RNA